UACGAAGGGGGCUAGCGUUGUUCGGAAUUACUGGGCGUAAAGGGCGCGUAGGCGGCUUCGAUAGUCGGGUGUGAAAUGCCUGGGCUCAACCCAGGAACUGCACUCGAAACUCCGAGGCUAGAGUGUGGGAGAGGAUAGUGGAAUUCCCAGUGUAGAGGUGAAAUUCGUAGAUAUUGGGAAGAACACCGGUGGCGAAGGCGGCUAUCUGGACCACAACUGACGCUGAGGCGCGAAAGCGUGGGGAG
rnacentral:rRNA from 1 species